GCAAGUCGAACGAGGCGUACGGAGCUUGCUCCGUACAGUCGAGUGGCGAACGGGUGAGUAACGCGUGGAUAUCUACCCUGAGGCGGGGGAUAACCCGGGGAAACUCGGGCUAAUACCGCAUGAUACCGAGAGGUCAAAGAGGGCUUCGGCUCUCGCCAUGGGAUGAGUCUGCGUCCGAUUAGCUAGUUGGUGAGGUAAUGGCUCACCAAGGCUGCGAUCGGUAGCCGGCCUGAGAGGGUGAUCGGCCACACUGGAACUGAGACACGGUCCAGACUCCUACGGGAGGCAGCAGUGGGGAAUUUUGCGCAAUGGGCGAAAGCCUGACGCAGCAACGCCGCGUGGAGGAUGAAGGUUUUCGGAUUGUAAACUCCUGUCAGUGGGGAAAAAGCGAGCUGGCCUAAUACGUCAGUAAGUUGAUUGUACCCGCAGAGGAAGCCCCGGCUAACUCUGUGCCAGCAGCCGCGGUAAUACAGAGGGGGCGAGCGUUAUUCGGAAUUAUUGGGCGUAAAGGGCGCGUAGGCGGCCGCUCAAGUGGAAGGUGAAAUCCCCCGGCUCAACCGGGGAACUGCCUUCCAAACUGAGUGGCUUGAGUCCGGGAGAGGUGAGUGGAAUUCCCAGUGUAGCGGUGAAAUGCGUAGAUAUUGGGAGGAACACCGGUGGCGAAGGCGGCUCACUGGACCGGAACUGACGCUGAGGCGCGAAAGCGUGGGGAGCAAACGGGAUUAGAUACCCCGGUAGUCCAC
rnacentral:rRNA from 1 species